CGUCCGGAACGGGCGCUAAUACCGCAUACGUCCUGAGGGAGAAAGUGGGGGAUCUUCGGACCUCACGCUAUCAGAUGAGCCUAGGUCGGAUUAGCUAGUUGGUGGGGUAAAGGCCUACCAAGGCGACGAUCCGUAACUGGUCUGAGAGGAUGAUCAGUCACACUGGAACUGAGACACGGUCCAGACUCCUACGGGAGGCAGCAGUGGGGAAUAUUGGACAAUGGGCGAAAGCCUGAUCCAGCCAUGCCGCGUGUGUGAAGAAGGUCUUCGGAUUGUAAAGCACUUUAAGUUGGGAGGAAGGGCAGUAAGUUAAUACCUUGCUGUUUUGACGUUACCAACAGAAUAAGCACCGGCUAACUUCGUGCCAGCAGCCGCGGUAAUACGAAGGGUGCAAGCGUUAAUCGGAAUUACUGGGCGUAAAGCGCGCGUAGGUGGUUCAGCAAGUUGGAUGUGAAAUCCCCGGGCUCAACCUGGGAACUGCAUCCAAAACUACUGAGCUAGAGUACGGUAGAGGGUGGUGGAAUUUCCUGUGUAGCGGUGAAAUGCGUAGAUAUAGGAAGGA
rnacentral:rRNA from 1 species